CCUACGGGUGGCUGCAGUGAGGAAUAUUGGUCAAUGGGCGCGAGCCUGAACCAGCACAGUAGCGUGAAGGAUGACUGCCCUACGGGUUGUAAACUUCUUUUAUAAAGGAAUAAAGUGAGGCACGUGUGCCUUUUUGUAUGUACUUUAUGAAUAAGGAUCGGCUAACUCCGUGCCAUCAGCCGCGGUAAUACGGAGGAUCCUAGCGUUCUCCGGAUUUAUUGUGUUUAAAGGGAGCGUAGAUGGGUUGUUAAGUCAGUUGUGAAAGUUUGCGGCUCAACCAUAAAAUUGCAAUUGAUACUGGCAGCCUUGAGUACAGUUGAGGUAGGCGGAAUUCGUGGUGUAGCGGUGAAAUGCUUAGAUAUCACGAAGAACUCCGAUUGCGAAGGCAGCUUACUAAACUGCCACUGACAUUGAUGCUCGAAAGUGUGGGUAUCAAACAGGAUUAGAUACCCCAGUAGUC
rnacentral:rRNA from 1 species